rnacentral:ribozyme from 1 species
UCGAAAGAAAAAAAAAAAAAGAGGAAAAAGUUGUAGUGUCAUAGUUUCCUUUAUUUGUUUACGUAAUACAGACUUUCAAUAACCCCAUGAG